rnacentral:rRNA from 1 species
GACGAACGCUGGCGGCGUGCUUAACACAUGCAAGUCGAACGGAAAGGCCCUGCUUUUGUGGGGUGCUCGUGUGGCGAACGGGUGAGUAACACGUGAGUAACCUGCCCUUGACUUUGUGAUAACUUCAGGAAACUGGGGCUAAUACCGGAUAGGAGCUCCUGCUGCACGGUGGGGGUUGGAAAGUUUCGGCGGUUGGGGAUGGACUCGCGGCUUAUCAGCUUGUUGGUGGGGUAGUGGCUUACCAAGGCUUUGACGGGUAGCCGGCCUGAGAGGGUGACCGGCCACCAGGGGCCUGCGGGACGGCCCAGACUCCUACGGGAGGCAGCGGUGGGGAAUAUUGCAGAAUGGGCGGAAGCCUGAUGCAGCAACGCCGCGUGCGUGAUGACGGCCUUCGGGUUGUAAACCGCUUUCGCCUGUGACGAAGCGUGAGUGACGGUAAUGGGUAAAGAAGCACCGGCUAACUACGUG